rnacentral:rRNA from 1 species
GACUCUUAGCGGUGGAUCACUCGGCUCGUGCGUCGAUGAGACGCAGCUAGCUGCGAGAACUAUGUGAAUUGCAGGACAUUGAUCAUCGACUUCGACGCACCUUGCGGCCCGGGUUCUCCGGGGCUACGCCUGUCUGAGCGUCG